GGAAUUUUGGACAAUGGGCGAAAGCCUGAUCCAGCAAUGCCGCGUGAGUGAAGAAGGCCUUCGGGUUGUAAAGCUCUUUUGUCAGGGAAGAAACGGUGAGGGCUAAUAUCCCUCGCUAAUGACGGUACCUGAAGAAUAAGCACCGGCUAACUACGUGCCAGCAGCCGCGGUAAUACGUAGGGUGCAAGCGUUAAUCGGAAUUACUGGGCGUAAAGCGUGCGCAGGCGGUUUUGUAAGUCUGACGUGAAAUCCCCGGGCUCAACCUGGGAAUUGCGUUGGAGACUGCAAGGCUAGAAUCUGGCAGAGGGGGGUAGAAUUCCACGUGUAGCAGUGAAAUGCGUAGAGAUGUGGAGGAACACCGAUGGCGAAGGCAGCCCCCUGGGUCAAGAUUGACGCUCAUGCACGAAAGCGUGGGGAGCAAACAGGAUUAGAUACCCGGG
rnacentral:rRNA from 1 species